rnacentral:misc_RNA from 1 species
AAGUUGUAACAAGGUUUCCGUAGGUGAACCUGCGGAAGGAUCAUUAAAAACUUUUAUCCGGGAAUUCGUUUCGUCUUCUCGGAUUAUUUGUAUUCAAAUCCCACUCUUUAUAAAUAUAUCAAUUUAUAUAAAACAAAAAUAAAAAAGAAAACUUUCAACAACAGAUCUCUUGGCUCUC